CCUACGGGUGGCAGCAGUGAGGAAUAUUGGUCAAUGGUCGGAAUACUGAACCAGCCAAGCCGCGUGCAGGACGAAGGUUCAAAGUAUUGUAAACUUCUUUUGUCAGGGGACAAAAUCCGGUACGAGUCCCCGGCUGAGGGUACCUGAAGAAAAAGCAUCGGCUAACUCCGUGCCAGCAGCCGCGGUAAUACGGAGGAUGCGAGCGUUAUCCGGAUUUAUUGGGUUUAAAGGGUGCGUAGGCGGGAUGUUAAGUUAGCAGUGAAAAUCCGGGGCUCAACCCAUGGCCUGCCGUUGAUACUGAAAGUCGAGAGAGCAGGAGAGGCAGGCGGAAUGCGUAGUGUAGCGGUGAAAUGCAUAGAUAUUACGCAGAACACCGAUGGCGAAGGCAGCGUGCUGGGCGUGAUCUGACGCUGAGGCACGAAAGCGUGGGGAUCGAACAGGAUUAGAUACCCUAGUAGUC
rnacentral:rRNA from 1 species